AGGGGUUUCCGAUGUGGUAGUUCCGUUCGGGACGCAGGGGUCGCAGGUUCGAAUCCUGCCACUCCGACCA
rnacentral:tRNA from 1 species